AAAUCAGCCUCGCCAUAAGCGAAACAGGAGGAAAAUUUUCUUCGAUUUUGGCGGCACUGACGUUGAGAUUAUUUUUACCCCUCUUCGCGUUCGUCGCCCGACUAUAGUUCCACCUCCACAGUGCAGUACCAAGCCUAAAAAUACCACUAAGUGCGGUGUCGUAGUGGAUAGUUUCUAGUACUUUUCUCAAUCUGCGUGCUGAAGACUUGUAGUCUCGCAGUGGGUUAAUUGAGGAAGCAAAUCCUUUUAGACAUGCGAUUUAGAAAAGUAAUUUUAUCUUCGUCACCACCCAAAGGUCUUUACCCUGAUUACAAAGCAUCUGCAGUGUGAUGGAGGUGGAAAAAAUGACUGAGAAAGGUAAAAUUCAAACUUUUCUGAAGUUUUAGUUUGAACAUGUAUAGUUGCUUGCGUACGAAUUCGAUAUUCACUAUUGUGUAACAUGUUAUUUCAAUUCUAGUAUAUUAAAAUCAUAUAAUUAUGAACAUAGUUAUGGUACUUUUUUUAUUUUGUUAUAACACUAAUCUAUUCCCACUCAUUUUGCCGUAAGGAAAGAAAUAAUGGAUGUGGUGGAUGACGAAGUAUUGGUAGAAUCUAAUAAUGAGAGCUCAUUGGACAAUGUAAUCACGUUGGGAGGUGACAAUUUAGGAGGAGAUGUUGCGAACAUUCCUAAGGUCGGUAUGAAGUUCAACGAUGAGAAUGAGUUGUAUGAAUUCCAAAAGAAAUAUGUGUAUGACGUUGGUUUUUCGGUGAGGAGAAGAAAUUCUAAGAAGGGUGAGGAAGGAAUAGUAAGAUAUGUUACGUUGACUUGUAGUUGUGAGGGACGAAGAAGCUAUAACACAAGCGCCUCUUUAAGGCCACAACCAACAAUUCAGGUGGGUUACAAAGCAAGGCUAACUGCUUCCGCAGAUAUUUUUGGAAUAUGGAAAAUUUGCACGAUCGACUCAAGCACAAUCAUAAAACAAGUCCGUCGAAAUUUAGGUUGUAUCGAUGCAAUCAAAAAUUGACUGCUCAUGUGAAACGAAAGCUAGAGUUGAAUGACACGGUUGAAAUUCCUUUGCAUAAGAGUUACAACUCUAUAGUUGUUGAAGCCGGCGGCUAUGGGAAUAUGACGUUCAUAGAAAAGGAUUGUAGAAAUCACCUUGAACAAGUGAGGCGAUUAAAACUAAGUGAAAAAGAUGUCGUGGCAAUACAAUCCUACUUUUCUCGAAUGCAAGCAUCUUGUUUUGGGUUUUAUUUUUCUAUCGAUUUAGGCGACGAGUCACUACUUAAGAAUCUUUUAUGGGCGAACAAAAGGUGUAGGCAAGCGUAUAAGGAGUUUGGGGACGUAGUGUUGUUUGACACCACUUACCUCACUAACAAGUAUGACAUUCCCUUUGCCCCAUUUGUUGGAGUAAAUCAUCACAGACAAUCAAUGCUGCUUGGAUGUGGGUUGCUAUCUAAUGAGGAUACAAAUACCUUCGUGUGGUUGUUUAGGACAUGGAUGCAGUGUAUGCAUGGUCAAGCUCCUAACGAAAUUAUUAUCGAUUAAGACAGGGUUAUGCAAAAUGCAAUUCAGAUAGUUUUUUCGAACACGAUACAUAGAUGGUGUUUAUGACAUAUAUUGAAGAAGUUGCCUGAAAAUUUUGGAUAUCACGAGGAUAAGAAACAAAUAUUUUCAUUCAUACAUGGCUUAGUUUACGACUCAUAGUUUGCUGGAGAAUUUGAGGAAGGUUGGACAUUGAUGGUUGACACAUAUAACUUAUAUGAUAAUGAGUGGUUGUCGGGGUUGUAUGAAAAUAAGGGUCAAUGGGUGCCGUGUUAUUUGAAAACAACCUUCUGGUUAGGGAUGUCAACUACUCAACACAGUGAGAGAAUGAAUGCAUUCUUCAAUGGUUAUGUUCAUUCCAAGACAUUGUUGAAACAAUUCAUAGAACAAUAUGAACGAGCAUUGCGAAAUAAAGUUGAAAAAGAGUUCCAAGCAGAUUUUCAAGUCUUACUCGGAGAUGGUGCCGUGUGCAAGCAAAUAUGAAAUGGAAAAGCAAUUUCAGACAGUUUAUACAAUAUCUAAGUAUCGGGAAUUUCAAAACGAGAUAACUGGAAAGAUGUACUGCGACGUCAUAUCUGCAUUGGAUGGAUGUUCGGGAAAGACAUAUGAGGUCGAGGAGGAUGUAAUUUACAAAGAAAAGACAAGGAAGAAAAAAAAUUUGGUGUUGUUUCGUGCAGAGGAGGUCGAUAUUACUUGUAGUUGUCAUCUGUUCGAGUUUCGAGGAAUUCUAUGCAGACAUAUCAGUUUUGAUGCGUAAUAUCAUCACAUCAGUGCCGGAAAGGUACAUAUUGAGGAGAUGGAGGAGAGAUAUUUGUAGAGCCCACACGAGGGUCGCAAUGAACUAUGAUAGCUUGGUUAGCACUCCUGGCCAGUUGAGGUAUGACAGAAUGUGCAAAGAAUUUGCUACAUUGGCAGACGUUAUUGCAAAAGAUGAAGAGCAAACCCGUGUGGUAAUAGAUUGGAUUCGGUUGCAAUGUACCGAUACCGUGUCUACGAAGCUGUUUUCUAGAGGCAUUAGCAUUUCGCUACCUAGUUUACAUUUGGAAUCGCAAUCUAGAGUGUCAUUUGACUUAGUCAGUGGAAGUAUAAAGGAUCCAAAAUGUUCGAAAAGAAAGGGCGCUCCCCAAAAACUUCACACUAAAAGCCCGUUGGAGUCGGGUCCUAAGAAAUCAAAGGCAACGUCACCUUCAACCAAAGGGCAGAGAUCGAGAUCGAGAAAGAGCAAUCUCCAACAUGAUACUGCACUGAAUGCAGAACAUUCCAUAUCAACACCACUUUCAUGUUCACAAGUCAUAUUGGGAAACUAAUGCAGUUGCACAACCCUUCGCAGCUUCAAAUUUCAUUGCUCCGUCAACAUCAAAUGUUGUUCUCAAUUAUGGAGUGGGUAGUGCAAUGGCUCCAGCGACCUGUGUAUUUCAUCGGGGUUUAAUGGCCCACUCCAAGGACUGAUGUCGCCCACUCAAAGUGCCAUACCUGGUUGGAUGUCAAGUGCAACCCGACCGAUCCCUCAACCUGAUGUUGCAAGUCAUAUUGCCCACGUUCAUGCUCCAAGAUCUGGACCGACUCUUCAAAUAGAUGGUUCGUCAAUAAGAUCAAUAUUCAGGCAUGGGAAUACACAAUAGAAAAGAAACAAAAGAUUUCCAUGCUGAUCUAAACCUAGUAAACCACUCAGACCGUGUCUAUGUUUCUGAACUACAUGAUUUGCAACAGCUCAUUUCCAUGUAGAUUCAAUUGUCAUUUCCAUGGAUAUUCAAUUAUCUUUCAGUAAAGUGAAGUUGCUAGGAUGUUUUCGUUUCCUAA